rnacentral:rRNA from 1 species
UACAGAGGUCUCAAGCGUUGUUCGGAAUCACUGGGCGUAAAGGGUGCGUAGGUGGCGUGGAAAGUCAGAUGUGAAAUUCGGGGGCUCAACCUCCGGACUGCAUCCGAUACUCCCAUGCUAGAGAACUGGAGGGGAGUCUGGAAUUCUCGGUGUAGCAGUGAAAUGCGUGGAUAUCGAGAGGAACACUAGUGGCGAAGGCGAGACUCUGGACAGUAUCUGACACUGAGGCACGAAGGCCAGGGUAGCGAACGGG